rnacentral:snRNA from 1 species
GAGUAAUCUGGUCAUGCCAUUACACUUCAUGUGCCUCUCUUUCAAUGAUGUAAGCCUGUGGAAGAAGACAAUCUCAACAGUACAUAAGUACAAUUCUUUGGUCAAGGGUAUAUGAGCAGCUGUGCUACUCUACUGGAACCUCCAGUCAAGCUCUGAAGGUUCAUUUGUACAUAAAAUCGUGUAGUUAAGCAUCAAGACUCCAGGUACAUUUAAAAGAGACUGCAUGUAGAAAUCUGUCUU